ACGCCCAUUUUCAAAAAAAAGGCGCCGUGCUUUAGUUAAUAGCUCAAAACCACUUGUAAACUGGACUAUGUAUCAAUAGGCAUUAUUAAUCAGAAAGGACUGGACUCUAAGUGCGUUGCCGGAACUAAAUUUUGAUAUAAUAUGGCGGAAAGAGAAGAACUUUAGGUGAAAGCGUUUUUUACAACAUCAUUGAGCAUUACUAGAUUCACUCGUUUGGAAGAAGAAGCGAACAGGAAGAAUACAAUGAAACUGUUAGCUGUUUGUAUCGCGAUGCUAUUUGUGUCGGCUUCACAGGCAUGCUUCGAUAUUUUACGGAACCGAUGUGAAACAGACGCAUUAACAAUGUGCAAGGUCACACCAGAGCUGUGCCAGAAAACAUGCGGUUUAUGUGUUUGUCGUGAUUCACAACCAGAGUUCUGCUUACGCAUGUUGGCCUCUCAACCAGAUGGAUUUUGUCGUUCACUUGAAAGCGCUUUGUAUUGCAAGAACACCUGCGAAUACUGUUAAUCAUAACAGAGAUGACGCCUCAUCAUAAAGUAUUUACUCUUGUGUGUAGAAUUGUUGUAUUUUUUUGUUGUUAUUAUGAAUGAAAGUAUGUGUAAAAA